UGGGGAAUAUUGCACAAUGGAGGAAACUCUGAUGCAGCGACGCCGCGUGAGCGAUGAAGUAUUUCGGUAUGUAAAGCUCUAUCGGCAGGGAAGAUAAUGACGGUACCUGAGUAAGAAGCUCCGGCUAAAUACGUGCCAGCAGCCGCGGUAAUACGUAGGGAGCAAGCGUUAUCCGGAUUUACUGGGUGUAAAGGGCGUGUAGGCGGGACUGCAAGUCAGAUGUGAAAACUAUGGGCUUAACCCAUAGCCUGCAUUUGAAACUGUAGUUCUUGAGUGGUGGAGAGGCAAAUGGAAUUCCUAGUGUAGCGGUGAAAUGCGUAGAUAUUAGGAAGAACACCAGUGGCGAAGGCGAUUUGCUGGACACUAACUGACGCUGAGGCGCGAAAGCGUGGGGAGCAAACAGGAUUAG
rnacentral:rRNA from 1 species